GGAGAGCGGGGGCGAGGGCAUGGGGAGCCUCUGUCAGGGCGAGCGCAGCUGCUGGCGGCCGGGGACGGCGGCGCGGCGGGCGCCGGAACGGGACGGGGCGUCGGCGGCUCGGGCACGGCGGCGGGAGAGGCCCUGGCGCCCGGCCCGCUCUGCCAAGCCGCGGGGGAGCGGGAGGGCGGGCAGCCGCCCCGCGAGAUGGCGGGCGGGGCCGGGCCGCAGCGGCCGGAGAGGAGGCCGGGGCCUGAGGGCCGCCUCCCCGGGAGCCGCUUCUCCGCCGUCCGAGGCGGGAGGCGGUGGCGCAGUAGGGCAGAUGAUGGAGGUGCUAGUGAACUGGGCGCUGUCUUCCUUUUAAUUCUUGGGGUUUUUUGGCUCCUUCCCGGCGCUGUUUGCUGGGAGGACCGCUGAGGGGAAUCCCUGCGGCCCCUCAGCCAGCACCUGCUCCCGCUGGCUGUGCUCUGGAAAGGUUUUUGUUCAAAAAUAAGGGAAGUUUGGAAUUGGGCAUGUCCCAGGAUAUCGUGCUGACAGGAGCCUGGGAGGUUAUGUGGCAAGUCGUCUCUUGAGCAAGAGCUACCACAGCGCCCAGAGUAAGCCUUCAGUCCUGGUGCUGCAAGGGUUUGUUUUCAUAGACACCUUGUGUAGAAAACUGAGGUUGCAGCAGCAUGCCUGGUUCAACACAAGUUUCCCGUUCUCUCCCAGAUUAACAGAGGAAGCAAGUUUAAAAGCGGGAAUUGCUUGCUGGCCUGGUUUGAUGAAGGCAAGUAUGUGUGUGCCACUGUAUGAUGUGCCAUCCCGCCAGAGUGUACAGAUGUUGGACACCAGUUAGAUCACCGACAUCCAGCUGUUACAGCUUGGAUAAAGAGAUUGCAGUACAGCUUCCUUCAAGGCAGAAGGCAGCACAGUCACAAAUAGGCCCCCACCGCUGCCUUUGGCACCGAGGGCUGACACAGCUGCUGUUCAGGUGUAGACUGCUGUCAUUUUCCCAACCCACGUAUGCAGGAAGCAGUCACGGAAAUGAACAACAGAUAAGGUCUUGGUUCCUGGAGUUUUUCCAUUGCCAGUCUCCUGGCAGGUCUAUCUUGUCAAUCUUUGUCACAAUGAAAGGAACAAAUUCACUACCAAGUUAAACCAAGUCUGCCAGAGUGCUGCCCAAAUGAAACUGCUUUGUGAUGUCUUUUGCAUGCUGUUUCAAUGGGGGGAAAAAAAGUUUUUGAGGUUUGGUUUUUUGUUUUGUUUUGUUUUUUGUUUCCUUCUUCACAUACUACUUUCAUUUGAACUGUAACUGAUUAGCCUCAGACUAAAUUUGCUUCUAGCACUCUGGCCAUCUCUGCCGCCUUUUUUUUUUUUUUCAGAUCAGUCAUAAGCCAGGGUGAAUAUGGCUGUAUGUUCAUCUCAAUGAAGAAUAAAUGCUCUCUAUCCUGCCAGCUCUGUUACAAGCAGUAUUCUUCAGAUCAUUCUGGUUUCACUGCUGUAAUAGUGGAUCCUCAAACUAUAUUUCUGGGCCUGACGGGAGACAUGGCAUCUGCAUCGAAGCCCAGAAAAAACAUUUCAUGGCACGUGUUUGAGCACCAGUCACUUAACAUCCAAUCCAAGCAGAAGAACAGGAACUAAGGAGAUACUUUUAACGAUUGCAACUUCUAAGCAGGAGCAGAGAGACAUUUCGAAGUGAGGCAGAGCAGACAACUGGGGAUGGUAAUGUUUUUUAUUACAAUGUUCAUCUGCCAACACUUUAGAAUCUAUAAAAACCACAAAAAGGAUUUUACACUUCAGAGAGGACCAGCUAGAAUUGUAUCUUGUUUAAUGUUUUUUCAAAUAGCUACAACUUUCUUAAUGUUGUAACAGCUUUUAAAUAUGUACAACACUGUUUUCUCCACACACACACUUGUAUUUAACAUGUGAAAUGCCUUAGAUCCUAUAUUUCUCUUCUGAAGUGUAAUAAUCACAGCAACGGACCAAACUUGAAAAAAAUUAACAUACACAAAUGAUAUUUUCUUGCAAUUGAAAAGAUAAUUUGUUUUGCUGUUUUCUCUUUUUUUUAGCAUCCAAAAUUUUAAACUAUUUGCAAUGGAUUAGGAUUUUUCAAUGUAAUAGGAACAUAAGUAACAAUUAUAGUGUAAGCAUGGAAACAACAGGCUGCAAGUCAAGCAAAUCUCUAUUUCCUUGCGUUCGGGAAAAAAACAGUGGAAAAAAUCUUACCUAAUUUACUUUCCAUCAUCUGUAAAUACUUACUUUUUUAAAUUAAUUUUCUGCAUGUGAAGCUGCUGUGGCAUGAAUGAAACUUUUGGUCAGCGACUUUGGAGUUUUUACAGAUUAAUAUACUGCUCACUAACAUUUAAUAUCAAAAUACUACCGUGAUCUCCUGGUCUGUACAGAUCUGUGUGGAUAGUUACACUGAUAGUCAUUUUUUCAUUUCCCUUAAGAUCACUACCAUGAUAGUUACCUCCACAUAAAUCCCUUCAGGGUCUGACCCCUUUAGGAUUUAUUCAUCAAAUCCUACUUGCACUUUUUUUUUAAAAAAACAACAACACAGAUUCUAAAUCUUCCUGCAGUAUAUAUAUUUAAGCUGCUAGCGCAAGACUGUGGUUGGCCCCAUCCUUAGUUUAAGAAAAGGCAAUAACAGGUAUUAUUACAACAGGAGAAUCCAUGAACUUCACAACUGAGUUUUCUCUGGUGUGUUUUGACUAUUUUAAGGGUUUUUAAAGUUUUGGCAUAACCUUUGUUAUAGCAAUACUGAAGAAUUUUGUAAAUGCUGGUUUUCUCAAAUAUCCUUGUAUCGGUGUCCUUCAGUCUGAUCAUUCGUUACUUUACCUACACAAUGAAAAUAAUGAGAUAUUUUUGAGAAUUAGGAUAUCUUCACAAGAUCUUUAUAAAGAAGUUGAACCUGGCUUAGAUUUUAGUCCAGUUCUUUCUGAUCAGUCUGCAAUUAAAAAAACAUCCUUAUAAUUUCCAGUCAGUUGUAUAUGCCUACAUAACUGGCAAUCUCUUCCUUAUAUUCUGGUUUAAACUUCUUGAGUGUAGAUUUUCAAGCCUUCUCAUGUAAUGGGUAGUAUUCAGGCGCAGUAUGGGAUACAAAUCCCAGUUCUUCAGUUACCAGUCUGUUUUGCCGUAUACUCUAAACAUGUCUUUCUUACUUCUUCCUAUAUAUAUAUGUGUGUGUGUAUUUUUAAGAAGUCAUUUACACAGUAACCAUUAAAUAUACAAAGAAACAGAUUCAGACAGUCUGAAGAUAAUACCGUAGUCACUGUAUUUAUUCUUUCAUAUUUGCUGCCUCUUGAAUUUAAGAGCGCCUUGCUAAUUCAAGGCUGCGCAUAGAAUUCAGGUGGAAUUAGGCCAGCUAAUCUUGGCCAGGCUGUGCCGUAGGCAAAGAUUAAAAUCUGUUUCCUUAUCCCAAGGACUUAAAAUUUUUAAGUAAAGAUUGGGGUGUUGCCGGCGGGGGGGGAUUGUGAGGAGAUGGGUCAGGCAAGAACACUUAAUUUUUAAAGCUCAAAUAAAAUAGCAUGCUUGAUGAAAAAGCAGAAGUAGAUGCAUUGCCUGAGAAAGAAAAUUAGCUUUGUAGCAUUUAAGGACAGAACAAAUCAUUAGAUCAUCAACUUUUGCUUCCUUUAUAAUCACAGGCUCUUAACAGAAACAGUAGGAGCAACCUACCAUAUGUACAGGUUUCCCCAGACAUGUCCUCUCACUUCAGCUGCUCAGCUGCUGGUGGGAGAGGAAAAAAAAAAAAGAUUUUGGAAUCUGUCAGAGCUUUGCAGAUUAGCAGAUGUAGUAAGCGCAACAAGGGACCACAGUAGAAACCAUCUGUGCGUGCACAACACAUACACAAGUCUGAGGCACGUGAGUUGUUACAGUGUGCAGAAUAUGGAGAUUAUUCUUCCAUGUACUGAAAGCCCAAUGUAUUUUGAGCCCUUAAGACCAUAAGUACAUACACCAUCAAAUCCAGCUACCUGUGCACAAGUGAUCUAGCCAGCAUAUGCAUAUAUGCCUGGGGUAUCCUAAAAAGGAAAAAUAGUAUUUGUGAUAGCCUGUAGGAAUAAAAGAGAAAAGAAGAGGAUGUGAAUUUGAAUAAGACUAGGAACCUGAAAGCAGUACAUCAGAAACAAAAGUUUGAAGGAUUUAAGUGCGGGAGAGCUGUAUUUAACUGCUGGAGAAGCAUGUUUUGCAACAAUACUUCAGGCAAAUCAAAGAGAGGUUGAAAUGCUUUGAAGCAUUGCAUAGAACUUCAGGUGAAAUUUAAGCUUGCAGAGAAUUAUUUUAUGAAGAUGAGACAACAGAACUCUUCUGAUAUAUAUUUUUCAAAUGUGAACUAAACAGCCUAAUCUAUUCACUUUAAUUAAUUUCAGUUAAUUAAUUUCACAAGUAACUUACUAGGGAUGUAGUUGAUUAUUAGUUGAGAUCUUUAAAUCUGGACUGGAUAUCUUAUGUGAGUUCCAGGCUUGAUGCAGAGACUAGCAGUGAUAAGGAUUCAUUUUGGCUUUCAACCCUAGGCUUCUAAGAAGGUUUAAAAAGUAUGAAUUUGAGAAAAACGCUAUGCACUGUGGAGCAGGCAAGAAAUAAAUUAAUGCCCUGAAGUCUGCAUCUGAUUUUGGCCUUUUUGCUUAGGAAAAUCUUGCAGCUUUCAUAGAGGUAAUUUGGUGUAUAAAAUUAGCAUAGCAAGAGUGCAGUCAGCGAGCAGGGGAGAGGGCAAGUAGCUCCAGACCAGGGCUGUAGGCAGGGCUCUCCGUGUCUGGGCAAUCCUGGUUACCUUUGGAACUUUUUAUGUGUUUGUAUGUGCAUGAUCUGCCUUCAAGCUCAGCCCUGUCAUGAACAAAGUAGUGCCGAAAUUAUGACUUCAUAAAGUUAGUUUAUUUUAUACUACAGGCGUUUUUCUGCCCCUUCUUACCAUUACUAAAUGUUCCUUAGUUAUAGCUAAGCUGAAUUUAAACCUUAGUGGGAAAAGCAACAAAGUGAGAAAAUAGCUACCCCUGAGGAAAAUGGAUGCUUUAUAUGAGUUUAAUUAUUAAGAAAGGAAUGCGCUAGAGAAUCAAGAAGAAAAAUGAUCAAAGUUGAAGGCAGACAAGAUACCAGAAUAUUAAUAUGCUGAGAGAUCUAUCUUUGUCUAAAUUAAAUCCUAUAUUCUUCUCACCCAUGCCAUCCAGAGCAAGAAUCCUUUGGUGAAUAUUUGUAAUCACUAGUUCCUGAUGCUAUUGUUUAGGAAACAAGAAAAACUGUAGCUCUCGUAGAAAUACUGCAGAAGCUGGAGUAUCCCCUUUACAUACAGGUUGAGGGAAAAAAUGGCAACCAUCAGUACUGUUGCAGUAACAUUUACAGCAGUGCAUAAAAUUUGUUGGAGGAUCAGACAGGACAGUUUCAAAUCUGUGGGAUCAGAAACAAAAAAGCAUAAAAGGUAAUAGGGCUGAAGCAGCAAGGAUUAAAGAAAUCGGCAAAGUCACUAUACUGUCUUCAUAGUGUUGCAACAUGGUAUCCACACAUGGACGGGUAUGCAGCUCUUGCAUCCAUCCCCACUCUUUUCAUCACUUUCAAAGAAAAGUUUCUAACCUCCUUCCCCCACCUCCAGUAUGAGCAGAAUUGUAACAGGAGCCCGAGCUGGAGCCACGGAAGAUGAUUUGGAGCCAGAUGUUUGCACGCUGAGAAGACUGCUCUGGGGCUGGAGCGUGUCAGGGUAUUUUCCCUGGAGAAGAGACAGUACCUACUCACACAAGAAUUGUGUCUAAACAGGCAUCGCAAUCAAGACUCUGCUUUUUACCAUCCUUUCAGAAAAAUGCUGCAUCAGUUGCAGCUUUGCUGCAGUUGUGAAAGCUUUAAGAUAGUGCACACUUCCAAAGAAUCAACACCAGGGAACGCUGCCACGCAGAAGGGCAGUACUUAAAAAUAAUGGUUUAGCAUUAGUCAACUCCAGUUGAACCCCCAAAAAGAAGAAAAAGAUCUAUUCUUGAAAGUUACAGAUUUCCCCAGUCUAAAGCCUAUAAGAAUACUUGUUAGUUAACAAGUAGUUCACACUAGUUAUGCAUACCUGUUUUUACUGUCAGAGUUUAUUUAAGUCAGUAGUGGAAGAGAUGUGUUGAAUUACAGACUGAAGUUCCAUCUCAGCCACAAGUAACAAAGGGAAUGGAGUGGCCAUUUGGAGUCAUUCUGCCUUUAAAAGGGCAUAAAGAUACAGAAGUAGUAUACACUGCUAGUCAAAUAGUCAAACUCGCAUGCAUUUAGAAUGGAAUAAAUAAAGGCAACCCUCAAAAACAGUUGGUUUAAAGAGUUAUUUCUUCCCUCUAACACUUUUUGCAAUGAGUACUGAUGUAUUUCUCAAUAGGUUGCUGUAGUUUCAUUUUAAAACUGAAAUUCAGAUAGAUUUCCUGAUGAUUCUUGUCCCCCAAUCCCUAGUCAUUUAAUAUCUAUGCUUUUUAAGAAACAGUUCUUUGGAGUACUUUUAGUUGUAUGAAAUUUAAGUAAGUUUUAUGUCUUAGAGACUGGCACUUGUUUGUAAAUUAACUAGUAGUUGAUCUUUCACUGCUCACCUCAGUUUUUCACUCAUAUAAGCAACACACUUCAGCUUUCUGUUUAUUCAUAAUUUUUGUUCCACAUUAGUAGCAGCAGCUCUUCGGAUCAGUUGCUCUGGUAAUGCUGAAAAACAGUUAUUCAGGAUAAACUGUUGCAAGUAAAAACACAUUUACCAUAACAUCCUUUGGAUUUUCUCUGAUGUAGCAACAUAAUUGGUAGAUAAUUGUACCGAAAGUCUCUAGACCAUGGAAUUAGAAAAGCAUCUCAUAGAGACUGCAGGCUAGGUUUAAGUGGAAGAUCUUGUACUUGUCAUUAGAACAUAUUUGCAUUAAAUAAGGACACCCCAAAAUUUUAAAUACCUGUACUACAUAGCAAGUAAGGGCUUUAGGACCUGUUCAUGAUGGAAUGAAUAAUACUGAUGUAAAUCUAAUACAUCUCUAUCAAAGCUUGAUCCCUGCCUUCAGCAUGGGAGAUAAUCUGGCUCCUCCCAGCUUGUCUAUGUAAAAUAGCAGUUGUAUCGUAUGUUAUUACUUGUAUGGUCUUGCCCUGGCUUAGAGGCAGGAACGCGAAGUGUACGUGACGGAUAGCCCCACAUUCCAGUAAAUGUGCAGAAGAGAUUCAUCAUCUCACCACAGGCUCUCACUGCAGAGGCUGCUCCGAGCGAGCUCCCUAAUGCCAAUUUGGCUGUGACUGUCAGAAAUGAGGGGAAGGACGGGAGGGAGACACAAGUGCAAGGCUCCUUCCCGCACGAAAUGAGUCCUUAUCACAGAAAGAAGAGACAGAGCUUGCUUGAAUAAUCUAUGUAAAUACCAUUGAGAUAAAAAUUGACUUUGGCUAGCUUUCUGAGCAAUGUAACUGAAGUUUGUCCCGAGUUCACAGGAAGUCAUGGACUCUGGUGUUCUUUAUCAGGAUCUUACUAUUAUCUUUGUUUCAGUCACUAGUUGAGUGGUUAUUUGCUUCAUUGUUUUGAAUAUUAAUUUAGGUAGGCACAGCAACACAAUGCUAUGGUUUGUAAAAGCACUUACAAAAUUUAUAUCAGCUGUGAGGAAGUCAGUGAAUUAAUUUCAUACUAGUUGUUAGCUCUCGAUGACAGUACAUGCUUUCAGAGCUGGUGAAGAGAGGAGCCCUGAACUGUCAAAACACAGAUAAAAUAAAGCAUUAUUUUUUUUUAACAAAUGCCACUCAUUUUUAAAAUAUAUCAGGUGCGGUCUUGGGGCUGCAGAUAAACCAAAUGAAGAACUAUAUCUUAAUAGUGCUGUAUUCCCUCCAGAAGGCAUAAUCUCCUAUAGGCAGGAUGAAUCAACAGGAUGAACUGUAUCUUGUAGACUAGUCAAGCAGAUCUCUUAUGAAUCAAGAGGUAUUUCUCCUGAAGGUCUAGCAGUCUAAAACCAGCCUUCCCAUUGUUCGGUUUUCCUAAACUGAAAAUGUGAAUUGUAGACACAAGGGCAAGGUAGAUUCAGAACAACCUUGAACAGCACCACACUAUCCAAAAUGCAAAGAACUAAUUUGUAGAAAUAUUUUUGUAGAGUCUGAAAACUAGUUUCCAGAAAGAGUGGAUGAAAGAAAAAGAUUCAUUUUACUGCUCUUUCCAGCAUCACUGAACUUGCAUUUAUUUGCUGCCUAAGGACACAGAAGGGGAAAGGGCUGAUCAGCAACACUUUUCAGAAUUACUAGUUGUUCCAUUAUUCAUAAAGCAUAAUAAAUGUUGAUUUACAUUAUCAAA